GUGGCCUAGUGGUUAGAGCGUUGGCCUCGAAAGCUGGAGGUUGCAGGUUUGAACCCUUGCCAAGUCA